AAACCAACAGGGAUUGCCCCAGUAACGGCGAGUGAAGCGGCAACAGCUCAAAUUUGAAAUCUGGUCCCCAGGGCCCGAGUUGUAAUUUGUAGAGGAUGCUUUUGGCGAGGCGCCUUCCGAGUUCCCUGGAACGCGACGCCACAGAGGGUGAGAGCCCCGUCUGGUCGGAUGCCAAGCCUAUGUAAAGCUCCUUCGACGAGUCGAGUAGUUUGGGAAUGCUGCUCAAAAUGGGAGGUAUAUGUCUUCUAAAGCUAAAUACCGGCCAGAGACCGAUAGCGCACAAGUAGAGUGAUCGAAAGAUGAAAAGCACUUUGAAAAGAGGGUUAAAAAGUACGUGAAAUUGUUGAAAGGGAAGCGCCUAUGACCAGACUUGGGCCCGGUGAAUCAUCCAGCGUUCUCGCUGGUGCACUUUGCCGGGCACAGGCCAGCAUCAGUUUGGCGCGGGGGACAAAGGCUUCGGGAAUGUGGCUCCCCUCGGGGAGUGUUAUAGCCCGUUGCGCAAUACCCUGCGCCGGACUGAGGUACGCGCUCCGCAAGGAUGCUGGCGUAAUGGUCAUCAGCGAC
rnacentral:rRNA from 1 species